CCUGAUGCCCAGUGGCUAAGACUCCACACUCCCAACACAGGGGAUCCGAGUUUGAUCCCUGCUCAGGGCGCUAGAUCCCACAUGCUGCAACUGAGAGUUUGUAUGCCGCAGCUAAUACCCAGUGCAGGCAAAUAAACUAAUUUUUAAAAAUUUUUCUUUAGAAAAAGAUGAUGUUUACUGGUUAACCAUUCACCUGGUAAUACCAUUCCUCAGGUCCUUGCUGUUUAUUGUUUGGCCAAAGAGUUCAAAGUUUCCUAAGACAGGAUCACCUGGAGGUAUUUGUUGAAUGUACAGAUUCUCAGAUCAGCUCAAAAUCUGCAUCUGAACCUUUUAUACGUUAAAGUUUUUAAGAACUGCUAAGUGUCCUUAAGGCAUAUGGUACUUUUUUUUUAAGGCCAUAUACAGGCUACUUUUCAUAAUUCCUUUUUGAAACUGUCUUUAAGGACUGCUCUAAUAGAUGGGCUCUAUCCUAAGUGCUUCUCCCCUUAAGAAGCAUUUUAUUUGGCCUUCUGCCCCACUGUCAGUAGCAUAAGCUGACUGAGUUUCUAUUACCAUUAACGUCCUUCUUUUUAUGCUCCUUGUUCUAUUUUCCUUUGUGUUGCAGUAUAGAUGAAUGAAGAAAAAAGUGAAGACCGAAAGACAUUCAGAAAAGAGAGCAGACAAAAGAGAAGUGAUAGUGAACAAGUGCUAGAAAUACAAGACAGAAACGAGAUUUGGGAAAAAUUUGGGAUAGAUGGAAUCUAUCAUUUGAUAAAUAAUGUCAGAUGACCCAAAAGUCUCUCUAGUCCUCUGUGUGACCUUUGAGUACUCAUCAACCUGGCAACAGAGCCGGAUGCUGGUGUUUCAACCAUGGAUGCCAUAGUGGUAGGUCCCAAGGGUCAUAAAACAAGCUCCCUAGAAGUCACUGUGGAUGGAUGCUCAUGAGCAGGGUUGACAUCACCUGGUACACACUAGCAAGGCCCUAUCAGUUGUGACAUUUG
rnacentral:lncRNA from 1 species